rnacentral:rRNA from 1 species
UUCCAGACUCCUACGGGAGGCAGCAGUGGGGAAUAUUGCACAAUGGGGGGAACCCUGAUGCAGCGACGCCGCGUGGGUGAAGAAGCGCCUCGGCGCGUAAAGCCCUGUCAGCAGGGAAGAAAAUGACGGUACCUGAAGAAGAAGCCCCGGCUAACUACGUGCCAGCAGCCGCGGUAAUACGUAGGGGGCAAGCGUUAUCCGGAUUUACUGGGUGUAAAGGGGGCGCAGACGGCGAUGCAAGCCAGGAGUGAAAGCCCGGGGCCCAACCCCGGGACUGCUCUUGGAACUGCGUGGCUGGAGUGCAGGAGGGGCAGUCGGAAUUCCUGGUGUAGCGGUGAAAUGCGUAGAUAUCAGGAGGAACACCGGUGGCGAAGGCGGCCUGCUGGACUGCAACUGACGUUGAGGCCCGAAAGCGUGGGGAGCAAACAGGAUUAGAUACCCCUGUAGAG